CUUGCCACCCACCCCCUGCCAGAAAAAAAAAUCCCUAAAUUAGAACUGCAUGGGUCCAACCCAGAUGUGCAGUUGGUCUACUUUUAUUGAUGGAGAUCGGACCGGUCUUAGCAAGUGAUUCCCUACCUGAUUUUAUAAUCUUUUGACAAUUUAACAUUCAGCUUGUACCCUUUUUAUUCCCUAGUUUUGAAGGCACGUCUUAUAAAACCAGAGCACUCCUUCUUUGCUGGCCUUUUCUAUAGAUUAACUAA